rnacentral:rRNA from 1 species
CCUACGGGUGGCAGCAGUGGGGAAUAUUGGACAAUGGGGGGAACCCUGAUCCAGCCAUGCCGCGUGUGUGAAGAAGGCCCUCGGGUUGUAAAGCACUUUCAGUGAGGAAGAACGCCUGGUGGUUAAUACCCAUCAGGAAAGACAUCACUCACAGAAGAAGCACCGGCUAACUCCGUGCCAGCAGCCGCGGUAAUACGGAGGGUGCGAGCGUUAAUCGGAAUUACUGGGCGUAAAGCGCGCGUAGGUGGCUUGAUAAGCCGGUUGUGAAAGCCCCGGGCUCAACCUGGGAACGGCAUCCGGAACUGUCAAGCUAGAGUGCAGGAGAGGAAGGUAGAAUUCCCGGUGUAGCGGUGAAAUGCGUAGAGAUCGGGAGGAAUACCAGUGGCGAAGGCGGCCUUCUGGACUGAAACUGACACUGAGGUGCGAAAGCGUGGGUAGCAAACAGGAUUAGAUACCCGGGUAGUC